rnacentral:rRNA from 1 species
AAAUUGAAGAGUUUGAUCAUGGCUCAGAUUGAACGCUGGCGGCAGGCCUAACACAUGCAAGUCGAGCGGAAACGAGUUAUCUGAACCUUCGGGGGACGAUAACGGCGUCGAGCGGCGGACGGGUGAGUAAUGCCUAGGAAAUUGCCCUGAUGUGGGGGAUAACCAUUGGAAACGAUGGCUAAUACCGCAUGAUGCCUACGGGCCAAAGAGGGGGACCUUCGGGCCUCUCGCGUCAGGAUAUGCCUAGGUGGGAUUAGCUAGUUGGUGAGGUAAGGGCUCACCAAGGCGACGAUCCCUAGCUGGUCUGAGAGGAUGAUCAGCCACACUGGAACUGAGACACGGUCCAGACUCCUACGGGAGGCAGCAGUGGGGAAUAUUGCACAAUGGGCGCAAGCCUGAUGCAGCCAUGCCGCGUGUGUGAAGAAGGCCUUCGGGUUGUAAAGCACUUUCAGUCGUGAGGAAGGUAGUGUAGUUAAUAGCUGCAUUAUUUGACGUUAGCGACAGAAGAAGCACCGGCUAACUCCGUGCCAGCAGCCGCGGUAAU